AACGAACGCUGGCGGCAUGCCUAACACAUGCAAGUCGAACGAGACCUUCGGGUCUAGUGGCGCACGGGUGCGUAACGCGUGGGAACCUGCCCUUAGGUUCGGAAUAACUUCCCGAAAGGGGUGCUAAUACCGGAUAAUGUCUUCGGACCAAAGAUUUAUCGCCUUUGGAUGGGCCCGCGUUGGAUUAGCUAGUUGGUAGGGUAAAAGCCUACCAAGGCGACGAUCCAUAGCUGGACUGAGAGGAUGAUCAGCCACACUGGGACUGAGACACGGCCCAGACUCCUACGGGAGGCAGGAGUGGGGAAUAUUGGACAAUGGGCGAAAGCCUGAUCCAGCAAUGCCGCGUGAGUGAUGAAGGCCUUAGGGUUGUAAAGCUCUUUUACCCGGGAUGAUAAUGACAGUACCGGGAGAAUAAGCUCCGGCUAACUCCGUG
rnacentral:rRNA from 1 species